AGAGUUUGAUCAUGGCUCAGGAUGAACGCUGGCGGCGUGCCUAAUACAUGCAAGUCGAGCGAACAGACAAGGAGCUUGCUCCUUUGACGUUAGCGGCGGACGGGUGAGUAACACGUGGGUAACCUACCUAUAAGACUGGGAUAACUUCGGGAAACCGGAGCUAAUACCGGAUAAUAUUUCGAACCGCAUGGUUCGAUAGUGAAAGAUGGUUUUGCUAUCACUUAUAGAUGGACCCGCGCCGUAUUAGCUAGUUGGUAAGGUAACGGCUUACCAAGGCGACGAUACGUAGCCGACCUGAGAGGGUGAUCGGCCACACUGGAACUGAGACACGGUCCAGACUCCUACGGGAGGCAGCAGUAGGGAAUCUUCCGCAAUGGGCGAAAGCCUGACGGAGCAACGCCGCGUGAGUGAUGAAGGUCUUCGGAUCGUAAAACUCUGUUAUUAGGGAAGAACAUACGUGUAAGUAACUGUGCACGUCUUGACGGUACCUAAUCAGAAAGCCACGGCUAACUACGUGCCAGCAGCCGCGGUAAUACGUAGGUGGCAAGCGUUAUCCGGAAUUAUUGGGCGUAAAGCGCGCGUAGGCGGUUUUUUAAGUCUGAUGUGAAAGCCCACGGCUCAACCGUGGAGGGUCAUUGGAAACUGGAAAACUUGAGUGCAGAAGAGGAAAGUGGAAUUCCAUGUGUAGCGGUGAAAUGCGCAGAGAUAUGGAGGAACACCAGUGGCGAAGGCGACUUUCUGGUCUGUAACUGACGCUGAUGUGCGAAAGCGUGGGGAUCAAACAGGAUUAGAUACCCUGGUAGUCCACGCCGUAAACGAUGAGUGCUAAGUGUUAGGGGUUUCCGCCCCUUAGUGCUGCAGCUAACGCAUUAAGCACUCCGCCUGGGG
rnacentral:rRNA from 1 species